UACGAAGGGGGCUAGCGUUGCUCGGAAUUACUGGGCGUAAAGCGCGCGUAGGUGGCUUCGUAAGUCCGUUGUGAAAGUCAAAGGCUCAACCUUUGAAUGCCGAUGGAUACUGCGAAGCUAGAGUACGGAAGAGGCGAGUGGAAUUCCUGGUGUAGCGGUGGAAUGCGCAGAUAUCAGGAGGAACACCAAUAGCGAAGGCAGCUCGCUGGGACGUUACUGACACUAAGGCGCGAAAGCGUGGGGAGCGAACAGG
rnacentral:rRNA from 1 species